AUGUGUUCUAUGUAGUUUGAAGAUUUCCAACAAUGGUGUCAAUUGGGAUAAACGUGCUUUAAACAAUUAUUCAUGCAAACUAUUUUUACCCUUUGAUAUCUUCAAAGAUAGAGCAUCCCUUAUGGAAGGGUGGAAGCUUUGUUAUGCAUUUAUUUUGUCAUACCCUCAUGCCUUGACUUCAGCAUUAUGACCAAAAGACUAAACAAGUAUCCAUCUUUGUGAGUAGCUGAGUCAGUGGGUUUAAGUGGGCUUGUAAGGAUCUUAUAUCCUAUUUUUGAUUUAGGAUUAUUAUUGAAACCUUGUGCCUUAUCUUGCAAAGUUUGAUAUUGUGGGGAUCCGAUGUUUCCUUUAGAAAAAACUAUGAGUAAGGUCAGUAAUCUGUACUUCCCGAGGAACUGAAAUCAACAAGGAUCAAUGCAAAGAAUUAUUUUUUGAAAAUUUGUAAACAAUUGAACUACACAAACACUUCAUUGCUAGGUUUCUAUAUUUAAAUGCUUGUGACUCAGCAAUUGUCUAGAAAUACUAAGUGGAUCUUGACUAUGAUCUCCAUGGACUCAUUGUGAUGACCAAUUAAUUAUUCACAAGCUUUUCUUUUAUGAAAUGAUUUACAAUUGCAGCUCAUGAUAGUGUGCCUUUUGAACUCAUUGGAUUUCUUGACAUUUAUAUUUCUUUUUGCAAUAUUUCCUAAAUAUUGACUUCUUCCAACAGUUCAAUUUGCUUGUUGAGGAACAAGAAAGUUUUUACUUUUGAGCUGCAACUAUCAGCAUUCAUUUCUUGCAAACAAGAAAAUGAAGGAAUAAAGGCAUUUUUAUUGGAGCUAUAGUUUGAGUGAACAACUGAACCUUAGUGUUCUGAUAUAUUUCCUUGGUCCUUGGAAAUGUUCCAUUAUUACUACUUGUUUGGUUAUCCAUGAAUUUGUACCUUUAUUUUGUUUUCUCUGUCACUCGUGGUUCUCAACCUUAUCACUUUUGUUAUAGGAACUGCACAGGUAUCCAUUUAUUAUUAUAAUUUUUUUUCAUGUUUAUUUUGUUUCUCUGCAAAUAUGCUAAAAUUUCUUCCUUGAGUAUGUUUAUUUUGUUUAUUUUGUUUCUCUGCAAAUAUGCUAAAUUCUUCCUUGAGUAUGUUGAUUUUGACUCUUCAUAUUUUAGAUGCAAAUUGGAGAUUCUGGGAGGAGUUAGUUCAGAAAAAUGAUGCAAAAUGGUAUGAACAAAGUACUGAUGGAUUGACAGCAUGCUGCAUAUGAUAGCUAAUAUCUGAAAUGAUUUUCUGCUUUAAAAUACUAUGAAUUGAUAUUAUAUAUACAAAAAAAAAUGCAAGCUGUAAGAUUUAAACUAUUUGGUGUUGGUUACAUUGUUUGAUAUUUAUGUGAAAAGAAAAGCACUUGAUGCAAUGCCAAUGAUGUGCUAACCAAAAGACAAUGAUAUGCAGCAGCUCCUCCAAAGAUCAGCCAUGUGCAGCAUUUUGAAUUUAUCAAAAAACAUUUCGAGGGCUUUGGCACGGACUCGUUCAUAUUGAGUUGGAUGGUAUGUAGGAUAUUACUUUUCCAUGUAUUAAAACUACUAUGCAUCUUGAUCCUAAUAUGAUGUUUCUAAGUUCUAACUUUUCUAUAAAAUAAAGGGAAAUUUCGGCUGGCUUAUUCUAUAAUUGAAUACCAAGAGCAUAAAGAAACUAAAUGAAACAUUCAAUUUCCGCUUCUAUGUAUAAGUGUUGUGGACCAUGAUAAAGCUUAUGGAUUCUGAGUUUUGUUGUUGUAGUAUGUUAUAAAUGGAAUCAGAUUUGCUAAAAUCCUUUCAUAUUAUUGCAGUUGGAGUUUGUGCAGACAUGUUUCUGUUUGUGGAAAAGAUUUGGAGUAAAAAUGACUUCUUCUUGUAAUGAGAAUAGUUUUUACCUGAUAAUCCACAACACUUGAUUCUUUUCUUUUCAGAAAGUCACUUUUCUAGUGUUAGAUAUGUUACAUGACAAAAAUGCAUCUGCUCUUCUAAAUUCGAAAUCAAACUUGAGUAUGUUUCAGCAUUCUUUUUUAAGCAAUAUAUGGAUCCAUUACCAAGACAGACCACACUAAUAUGAGACCGGUAUUUAUCAUGGUAAGCAUAUUGUUGGCUGUUAUUCACAGUCCUAAUUCCUGUCUUUCUUCAAUAUGGAAAUUUAGUGUUUACAAAUAUAUAAUGAGUCGUUGAAACUGACUCAAAAAAAGUUGUUGAUAUAAGGUAACUGUAAACAAGAAUACAUGCAUCUUGUAAAUUUGAGUUCCUAAAGUUCAGUUAGGUUUAAUUGAUUUGUUCAGGCAAUUUGGGACUAUGAUUAAUAGCCUAAUAUGAGAUCAUUUUUAUGUUAUCUAUGUAAUUGUGGUUUCUCUUUUUUCCUUUUUGUUUUGUAAUUGAUGCCUGUGGGUUUUUUGUUAUGAUAUUCUUGUUAUUAAUUGUUGAAGGUAAGAUCAACUUUGCACGUAGAAAUUUCGUAAGCUUAAACUGACACAUGAUCCUAUAUACUUUUUAGUUCUUGACAUGAUGUAUCCUAUUCAGUCUGAUACGGAUGUAUAUGGUUCAGUUGGUCCAGUUUAGAUCCAGUUUAUCGAUGAGAACAAACCAAAUUGAUUAGUUACGGUUUGGAAAUUCCUGAAACCAAAUAAAAAACCAUUUCACUACCAGAAAUCAAAAUGACAAAACCAUAAUAUUGCAGGAAUUUAAUGCUGGAUCAUCAGUCUUUUUUAUCUUCUCCUUCUAUGAUCAUAAUUCGUAGUUUGAUUGUCAAAUACUGACAAACUUCCAUUUAAAAACUGCAAAAUAAGACUAAAAUUCACAAGUUAAUUUAAAUUACUAAAUUAGGUACCUCAAGUUAGUUGUCAUUGUUGUCCACACACCAUAAUUAAUUCAGAAGUAUCAUCAUGAUGUGACAUCCUUGCUGCUGCUAUUAGAUUUACAGCUUCUCUGUUUGUGUUCCAUCUUCUUACAUUCAUCAUUUUGUUUGCAG
rnacentral:lncRNA from 1 species